rfam:Eubacteriaceae bacterium CHKCI004 isolate CHKC4 genome assembly, contig: {contig28}
UAGCCGGUGCAAGUCCGGUCACAGUAAUCGCCAGUGAGCUGUGUAGCUAAACUCGGUGCGUUGCAGUAAUGCAGGGUACUAAGCGAGUGGAUAAAGUAGCCUCGAUAAGAGGAGCGAGCAAUCAUGCAGACCGUAACAUAA